rnacentral:sRNA from 1 species
CAGUAAUAUAGCAAAGAUCACGAAAAGGCCACAAAAAGUACAUUAAGGUAA